rnacentral:rRNA from 1 species
AAUGAACGCUGGCGGCGCGCCUAAUACAUGCAAGUCGAGCGAGAAGACGUAGCAAUACGUUUGUAAAGCGGCGAACGGGUGAGGAAUACAUGGGUAACCUACCCUCGAGUGGGGAAUAACUAGCCGAAAGGUUAGCUAAUACCGCGUACGCUUCUUGGACUUCGGUUUCAGGGAGGAAAGCGAUGCCGAGGGUAUCGCGCUCUUGGAUGGGCUCAUGUCCUAUCAGCUUGUUGGNGAGGUAACGG